CCUGCUCAGUGACUCCUGGACGAUCCACAGCAGAAACCAUGAGCGGGUGCUCGCAAUCCUGCUGUCUCAACCAACUGAGGGGCUCCGGUAGUGGUAAAGGUGAUGAUGUUUGGCACUCAGUAUCACCAUCACUCAGAAGCUCUGAAGAAUUGAGAGACCACCACUAUCUUCCAAACAUGAUUAUUAUCUGCAGGAAUCACGAGCAGUCAGCAGAGGGCCUAUUCUGCUCACAGGAAGGAGCACACAAAACGAACACACCGAAAGCGGAAGGUCUGAUCAUCAUCUGUGUGCUUCUUUCCUUCCUGGCUUUCACAUUCCUCAUGGGAUCAGUGGGCAGAGAAGACAAUAAUGUACAAGAUUAUGAUGCUGAUGUCUUUCUCCCGUCCAAAGCUCUGUGGUUGCUCGGCUGUCUGCUGUUCUGGACUCUUUGGUUGCUCCUGCGUCUCCUCCAGAUGUUCCUCUGGCUGAUCAAAGGCCUGCUGUGGUUCAUCUCUGUUGCUGCUUCCCCGCUGUGUGGCUGUGCUUCCUUUCUCCUGACCUGCGUUCUGCUGCUGCUGCAUUACACAUGUGAGGCUGUGUUUUAUGCAACCACCAGUCCUGUGUAUGUGUAUGGCAUUCUUCUCAGUGUUGCCAUUUCGCUGUUCAUUUUCACCAGGUGAAAGCCGAAAUCAUUGCUUUAAAAUCUGAAGUAAAUCCUCUAUAAACGGUAUACAUAUAUACUUUACAUAACUGUAUUCUAUAUACUACUAUAUGUAUAUAUAUUUUUUCUGAGACUUUAAAAUAUUGUAGAACAGUGUAAAUUAUCUAGAACAAGGAUUCUUGUGGUUCAUGUCCUUUCUACAUGUUAUGUAUAUAGCCUUGCUGCUGUUUAUUAUUUGUAUUCUAUUCCACUUUAUUUUAUUAUGUUUCUACAUUUUUCCACGUUUAAAGACACACUACUGCUAUCUAUCUAUCUAUCUAUCUAUCUAUCUAUCUAUCUAUCUAUCUAUCUAUCUAUCUAUCUAUCUAUGAUCAAAACUAAAUGAUAUAGAAAAAAGCCCCCUCCAGGAUCCUUGCGAGAGUGAAAAGCUGGUCCUUCAAUCUGAGGUUCGACAAUCGGUCGGACCCUCCUUUCCAGCACCUUAGAGUAAACAAUGAAAACAGUGAAAAAAAUGUGUCAAAUAUAAUACAACAUUUUUUAUGUAUGUAAAUAACUACGAAAUGUUUUUGUUGUUGUAUUUUGGUAAAAGAUGCAAUAAACACUGAAAGACUAUUA